rnacentral:sRNA from 1 species
GUGACUUGGCAUGCAACCCCACUUCUGUGGGUGCUGACGCUGUGGUUUUCUUUUGCAGAUGUGUCCGUGACCCUCAGAGAUCCUUUGCCCUGGGAAUCCAGUGGAUUGUAGUUAGAAUACUAGGGGGCAUCCCGGGGCCCAUCGCCUUCGGCUGGGUGAUCGACAAGGCCUGUCUGCUGUGGCAGGACCAGUGUGGCCAGCAGGGCUCCUGCUUGGUGUACCAGAACUCGGCCAUGAGCCGCUACAUACUCAUCAUGGGGCUCCUGUACAAGUUUCAGUUACCCGAGGUCACCCACAGUCUGAAUGUAUUAAAUAGGAAAUUCCAGCAGCAAAGAGUUCAUAACUUUUAAAGCAUGCGCCGUUCUGCACCGUCUGGUGAAGUCUUGGUCCUGCCCAGGACUCGGAUUCUCACUUUGUCCAACUUUGGAAGAAGGCA